rnacentral:lncRNA from 1 species
ACUAUGCAGCCACAGCAUGAGCUGUGGCACCCAGUGGCAGCCGUGCUGCAAGGAUGGGCUCUGGUGGAAACAUGGGCGGUAGUGGACAGCCCCUCCACGAGUGUGGAGAAGGUGCUGAAGCACCUGGAAAUGCACAGGACCGAGAAGGAGUGUGCCUUUGCCAACAGAGUCAGAUGGGCAUUUGUGACUGUGCUGCUGGAAGGGCAUGCCCAGUCCCUGCUGGACGCAGUGCAGGGAGGAGGAAGAACCUCCGUUACAGGCUCACCCAGUGGUCUGCCAGAAAAUAGAGCAUGAACAGCCACUGGGCCCCAAGGGUGGGCCUAGAGACCCCCUACCAUAGUGAAGCACACUUCUUAUAGUGCUUGUACCCCCCACUGAGUUGUGGGAGUUAGGCAAGCAGUGCCAGCAGCAUUUGGGGGAGACUCCCUGCCUGAAUUCUGUCUCUCCGGGACAAAGGAGCUGAUCCAUUUCCUGCUCCGCCUCUGAGAUGGAAAAGCUGGCUUCUUUAAUUACAGUGUGGUCUGAUGCCGGUGAAAUACCAGAAACUGUCAGUAGAUGGCAGUUGUAUAUAGACUUAGUGCAAGUCAUUCGGGAAAAGGACAUUGCUGGGCAACUAGGUCCCGCCGGAGCGUUCCAGCUCAAAGAUUACCUGCUGCAGUCAGGCAGAAAUGUAAAGUCUUUCCUGUUUGAUUGGGCUUGCAGAUUUAGAAGCAGCAACGCAGCCUCUUGCCUGGAAUUGGGAUGAUGCGGCUGAAACCACCUUCCUGGCAGCCAAACAGGCUAUUCAGCAGGCACAAGCCCUAUGGGUAGCUGAUCAGGGGCACCCAUUUAAACUUGAUGUGCAUGUGACCAGAUAGUUUUGACUGGGGCUUAUGGCAUCACACAGAGCUCUUUAGAAUGCCAGUAGACUUUUGGUCCCAACUUUGGAAGGGAGCUGAGCUCCAGUAUUCCUCGACAGAGAAGCAGUUACUAACUGCAUAUGCUGCCCUUUAGACUCGUGACAGCCUGGCAGGAUGGGCUACAGUCGUCGCGCGCAUGACUUACCCAAUACCAGGGUGGGUAUGCUCAUGGGUAACAACCCACACACUGGGAUGGCACAGACAUCCACUUUUGUAAAGUGGGGUGCUUAAGCCUACUUGGAACAGCAAUUUACUAAAUGCUUCCUGAAGCAUUUUUAUGGUGACUGCUUUAAAAUCCUUGUCAAAUAAUUCCAUCCAACAAUAGCAGAAUACAUUUUUUCUUUAAGUAUCCACAGAACAUUCACAAAGAAUGACUACAUACUGGGCCAUAAAACA